GAUGAACGCUGGCGGCGUGCCUAAUACAUGCAAGUCGAGCGAACAGACGAGGAGCUUGCUCCUCUGACGUUAGCGGCGGACGGGUGAGUAACACGUGGAUAACCUACCUAUAAGACUGGGAUAACUUCGGGAAACCGGAGCUAAUACCGGAUAAUAUAUUGAACCGCAUGGUUCAAUAGUGAAAGACGGUUUUGCUGUCACUUAUAGAUGGAUCCGCGCCGCAUUAGCUAGUUGGUAAGGUAACGGCUUACCAAGGCGACGAUGCGUAGCCGACCUGAGAGGGUGAUCGGCCACACUGGAACUGAGACACGGUCCAGACUCCUACGGGAGGCAGCAGUAGGGAAUCUUCCGCAAUGGGCGAAAGCUUGACGGAGCAACGUCGCGUGAGUGAUGAAGGUCUUCGGAUCGUAAAACUCUGUUAUUAGGGAAGAACAAAUGUGUAAGUAACUAUGCACGUCUUGACGGUACCUAAUCAGAAAGCCACGGCUAACUACGUG
rnacentral:rRNA from 1 species